UACGGAGGAGGCGAGCGUUGUUCGGAAUCACUGGGCUUAAAGCGCGUGUAGGCGGGAUGGAGGGUGUCCUGUGAAAGCCCCCGGCUCAACUGGGGAACUGCAGGGCAAACCGCCAUUCUUGAGGCAGGUAGAGGCAAGUGGAACCAUGGGUGGAGCGGUGAAAUGCGUAGAUAUCCAUGGGAACGCCGGUGGCGAAAGCGGCUUGCUGGGCCUGUCCUGACGCUGAGACGCGAAAGCGUGGGUAGCAAACAGG
rnacentral:rRNA from 1 species